CUUCCUGGUCCUCUCUGCCAAGGCGAGGUGGCACGGGCUCCUAAUGGUGCCUUAUCACUUCUUAGCUAACAUGCGAAGUGGAUAUUUCCUUUGCAGCCCCGAGGAACAUGAAAUCUGAGGGAAGAUACUUUUGGAACCUUGAAUCUGAAAGGAACUCAAUGUUUUGCAUCCUUGGGAUUGCCAGAGAUUGGCAGAGGAGAGUCAAACAAGGACACAGAGAUGGAGCAGCCUUGAUAAGGCAAUCUGGACACAAAGGGACACUGGGGUACAUAUGUACAGAAAAAAGACCAUGUGAAGACACAGUGAGAAAGUGGUCAUUUGCAAGCAAAGAAGAGGUCUCAGAAGAAUGCAAACCUGCUGACACCUUGAUCUCAGAAUUCUAGCCUCCAGAAUGAUGAGGACAUUGAGGCGCAGAGAAAUUAAGUGACCUUCCUCAGAGUCACAUAUGACAGCUAAAUGGUUACAAAGUCCAUAGUAACUAUAGGAUCCCUGU
rnacentral:lncRNA from 1 species